rnacentral:rRNA from 1 species
AUGGCAGUGGUAUUGCGAUAUGUUGGUAAAUGUGGAAGUGGCAUAGAGACAUUAGUUGGCCUUACACAUGUGAAGGAGACGACCUCCAAGUAUCUCAAGUCUACCAUUGAUGACUUAUUUGCAGAAUGUAAAUUAAGUUUCGAGCAAGUUAGAGGUCAAGGAUAUGACGGUGCGAGCAAUGUUAGAGGGGAGUUCAAUGGAUUGCAAUCCUUAAUAAUGAGAAAGAACCCCACAACAUAUUAUGUUCAUUGUUUUGCACAUCAGCUUCAGUUAGUUGUUGUGGCUGUUAUUCGUAAGCAUAAAUGCAUUGGUAUUUUUUGA